rnacentral:rRNA from 1 species
AGUUUGAUUACGGCUCAGAUUGAACGCUGGUGAUGCUUUACACAUGCAAGUCGAACGGCAGCACGGACUUCGGUCUGGUGGCGAGUGGCGAACGGGUAGAGAGUAAAUGUAUCGGAACGCCUAGUAGCGGGGGAACAACAAAGCGUAGCCAAUACCGCAUACCGCCCUUCGGGGAAAAAGCGGGACCUCGGGCCCUGCACUAGAGCGGCUGAUAUCGGAUUAGCCAGUUGGUGGGGUAACGGCUCACCAAGGGCGACGAUCCGUAGCCGGUUUGAGAGGACGACCAGCUACACCGGGGACUGAGACACGGCCCAGACUCCUACGGGAGGCAGCAGUGGGGAAUUUUGGACAAUGGGGGAAACCCUGAUCCAGCCAUCCCGCGUGUGGGCGAUGAAGGCCUUCGGGUUGUAAAGCACUUUUGGCAGGAAGAAACGGCACGGAUAAUACCCCGUGCAACUGACGGUACCUGCAGAAUAAGCACCGGCUAACCACGUGCCAGCAGCCGCGGUAAUACGUAGGUGCAAGCGUUAAUCGAAUUACUGGGCGUAAAGCGUGCGCAGGUUCGGAAAGAAAGAUGUGAAGUCCCAGAGCUAACUUUGGAACUGCAUUUUUAACUACCGAGCUAGAGUGUAACAGAGGGAGGUGGAAUUCGCGUGUAGCAGUGAAAUGCGUAGAUAUGGCGGAGGAACACCGAUGGCGUAAAGGCAGCCUCCUGGGAUAACACUGACGCUCAUGCACGAAAGCGUGGGAGCAACAGGAUUAGAUCAUCUGGUAGUCCACGCCCUAAACGAUGUCAACUAGCUGUUGCAGCCUUCGGCCUCGGUAGCGCAGCUAACGCGUGAAGUUGACCGCCUGGGGAGUACGGUCGCAAGAUUAAACUCAGCGAAUUGACGGGGACUCCGCACAAGCGGUGGAUGAUGUGGAUUAAUUCGAUGCAACGCGAAAAACCUUACCUACCCUUGAUACGUCUGAAUCCCGAAGAGAUUUGGGAGUGCUCGCAGAGAACCGUUACAGGUGCCGUGGCUGUCGUCAGCCUGUGUCGAGAUGCUGCUGUCCCCAACGAGCGCAACCCUGUCAUUAGUUGCUGCUGAAAGCGGGCACCUAAUGAGACUGCCGGUGACAAACCGGAGGAAGGUGGGGAUGACGUCAAGUCCUCAUGGCCCUUAUGGGUAGGGCUUCACACGUCAUAUAAUGGUCGGGACAGAGGGUCGCCAACCCGCGAGGGGAGCCAAUCCCAGAACCUGAUCGUAGUCCGGAUCGGCCUGCAACUCGACUGCGUGAAGUCGGAAUCGCCAGUAAUCGCGGAUCAGCAUGUCGCGGCAUCACGUUCCCGGGUCCUGUACACACCGCCCGUCACACCAUGGGAGUGGCUUUACCAGAAGUAGUUACCUAACCGUAAGAGGGCGAUUACCAUUGGCAGGGAUUCCGCAAUGACUGUGUAGUCCAAAAUGGCAG